GACGAACGCUGGCGGCGUGCCUAAUACAUGCAAGUAGAACGCUGAAGCUUGGUGCUUGCACCGAGCGGAUGAGUUGCGAACGGGUGAGUAACGCGUAGGUAACCUGCCUGGUAGCGGGGGAUAACUAUUGGAAACGAUAGCUAAUACCGCAUAAGAGUAGAUGUUGCAUGACAUUUGCUUAAAAGGUGCAAUUGCAUCACUACCAGAUGGACCUGCGUUGUAUUAGCUAGUUGGUGAGGUAACGGCUCACCAAGGCAACGAUACAUAGCCGACCUGAGAGGGUGAUCGGCCACACUGGGACUGAGACACGGCCCAGACUCCUACGGGAGGCAGCAGUAGGGAAUCUUCGGCAAUGGACGGAAGUCUGACCGAGCAACGCCGCGUGAGUGAAGAAGGUUUUCGGAUCGUAAAGCUCUGUUGUAAGAGAAGAACGAGUGUGAGAGUGGAAAGUUCGCACUGUGACGGUAUCUUACCAGAAAGGGACGGCUAACUGCGUG
rnacentral:rRNA from 1 species